rnacentral:rRNA from 1 species
UACGUAGGGGGCAAGCGUUGUCCGGAAUCAUUGGGCGUAAAGAGCGUGUAGGCGGUUCGGUAAGUCGGCUGUGAAAGUCCAGGGCUCAACCCUUGAAUGCCGGUUGAUACUGUCGGGCUAGAGUCCGGAAGAGGCGAGUGGAAUUCCCGGUGUAGCGGUGAAAUGCGCAGAUAUCGGGAGGAACACCAAUGGCGAAGGCAGCUCGCUGGGACGGUACUGACGCUGAGACGCGAAAGCGUGGGGAGCAAACAGG